GCCCCUGCCCGGGCUUGGCCAGGAAGUUGACACAGAGCCCAGGGUGGGGCGGAGAUCAGACCGGAGAGGUGGGAGAUAGACGGGCUCUGGGUUGGACUUUUACAAUCAGCCAUCCUUCUGUUUGCAUUUUCUGGGACAGGAGAUAAGUGGGCUCCAACUGAGGAAUUUACAAUCGGCCUCCUGAUUGCUCUCUGAAAUGGAAAUAACAAUAGGAUAAGGGAGGCACUACACAUGCACAGAAAGGCUCCUUGGAGUCAGAAGUCUGAAGAUAAUUCCAGGCCAUAUUAAGUUUUGCUCCUCCCAGAAGCCUUCACUUCGAGAUCUAUCUUGGCUGACGGGUGCGUGCGCACCCCAGGGGAGGGUCCUGAGACAAAUUAACCGUGGGGGGGUAGGGGGGAGGACAAAGCAAGAUGACUGACCUGAGGGAAGACAGAGAUCUGGAAAACUGUUAUAAAGGACUUAAACUUUCCAAAGGCUCAACUCUCUGAACUUGCCCAAGCGCCUUUCCGCAUGUCCUUUUCUUUUCAAUAAAUUUUUUACUUUACUCUUUA